UACAGAGGUCUCAAGCGUUGUUCGGAAUCACUGGGCGUAAAGGGUGCGUAGGCCGCACGGUAAGUCAGAGGUGAAAUCCCGGAGCUCAACUUCGGAAUUGCCUCCGAUACUGCCGUGCUUGAGGACUGGAGAGGAGAUUGGAAUUCACAGUGGAGCAGUGAAAUGCGUAGAUAUCGGGAGGAACACCAGUGGCGAAGGCGACUACCUGGCCUGUUCUUGACGCUGAGGCGCGAAAGCUGGGGGGAGCAAACGGG
rnacentral:rRNA from 1 species